UGCUCAAGUUAGGGGAAGUGGCCUCAUCUU
rnacentral:piRNA from 1 species